GAUGAAGAACGCAGCGAAAUGCGAUAAGUAAUGUGAAUUGCAGAAUUCAGUGAAUCAUCGAAUCUUUGAACGCAUCUUGCGCUCCUUGGUAUUCCGAGGAGCAUGCCUGUUUGAGUGUCAUUUAACUUCUCAACCACAUUGGAUAUUUUUUUUCCGAUGCCGGCUUGGAUGUGGGGGUUGUUUGCAGGCUUUUUGUAACAAAAAAGGUCGGCUCCCCCGAAAUGUAUUAGUGGUAUCUGAGGCUAUUACUAUUAGGUGUGAUAAUUAUCUAUGCCUUUUGGGUAUGCCGCAUGAACAGAUUAUGCUGCUUCUAACGAAAACUAUUUUGAUGAAUUUGACCUCAAAUCAGGUAGGACUACCCGCUGAACUUAAGCAUAUCAAUAAGCGGAGGA
rnacentral:misc_RNA from 1 species